CCUACGGGGUGCAGCAGUGGGGAAUAUUGGACAAUGGGCGAAAGCCUGAUCCAGCCAUGCCGCGUGUGUGAAGAAGGCCUUCGGGUUGUAAAGCACUUUCAGUGGGGAAGAAAGCCUUGGGGCUAAUACCCUCGAGGAAGGACAUCACCCACAGAAGAAGCACCGGCUACCUCCGUGCCAGCAGCCGCGGUAAUACGGAGGGUGCGAGCGUUAAUCGGAAUUACUGGGCGUAAAGCGCGCGUAGGCGGUCUGAUAAGCCGGUUGUGAAAGCCCCGGGCUCAACCUGGGAACGGCAUCCGGAACUGUCAGGCUAGAGUGCAGGAGAGGAAGGUAGAAGUCCCGGUGUAGCGGGGAAAUGCGUAGAGAUCGGGAGGAAUACCAGUGGCGAAGGCGGCCUUCUGGACUGACACUGACGCUGAGGUGCGAAAGCGUGGGUAGCAAACAGGAUUAGAUACCCCAGUAGUC
rnacentral:rRNA from 1 species